UGAUCAUGGCUCAGAACGUACGCUGGCGGCACGCCUAACACAUGCAAGUCGAACGAAGUAGCAAUACUUAGUGGCAGACGGGUGAGUAACAUGUGGGUAUCUGCCCUUUGGCCUGGAAUAACACGAGGAAACUUGUGCUAAUACCAGAUAAGUCUUUACGGAGAAAGCUUUAUGCACCAUUGGAUGAGCCCGCACUUGAUUAGUUUGUUGGUGGGGUAAUGGCCUACCAAGACUGUGAUCAAUAGCUGAUUUGAGAGGAUGAUCAGCCACAUUGGGACUGAGACACGGCCCAAACUCCUACGGGAGGCAGCAGUGGGGAAUCUUGCACAAUGGAGGAAACUCUGAUGCAGCGAUGCCGCGUGAGUGAAGAAGGCCCUUGGGUUGUAAAGCUCUUUCGUCGGGGAAGAAAAUGACUGUACCCGAAUAAGAAGGUCCGGCUAACUUCGUGCCAGCAGCCGCGGUAAUACGAAGGGACCUAGCGUAGUUCGGAAUUACUGGGCUUAAAGAGUUCGUAGGUGGUUGAAAAAGUUAGUGGUGAAAUCCCAGAGCUUAACUCUGGAACUGCCAUUAAAACUUUUCAGCUAGAGUAUGAUAGAGGAAAGCAGAAUUUCUAGUGUAGAGGUGAAAUUCGUAGAUAUUAGAAAGAAUACCAAUUGCGAAGGCAGCUUUCUGGAUCAUUACUGACACUGAGGAACGAAAGCAUGGGUAGCGAAGA
rnacentral:rRNA from 1 species